rnacentral:rRNA from 1 species
ACAAACACUAGCCCAGCCAAUAUCUAACGAAGAAUUAAAAGAUUAUAAACUAAAACAUUUAUUAAUAUAAAGUAUAGGUGAUAGAAAUUACACUAUGGCGCUAUAGAAAUAGUACCGCAAGGGAAAGAUGAAAGACACAAAGUAACUGUAUAAAACAGCAAAGAUUAACACUUGUACCUUUUGCAUAAUGAAUUAGCUAGAAAACAUCUGACAAAGAGAACUUAAGCCAGAAACCCCGAAACUAGACGAGCUACCUUAGAGCAGUUUAAAGAACUAACUCAUCUAUGUGGCAAAAUAGUGAGAAGACUUAAAGGUAGAGGUAAGAAGCCUAACGAGCCUAGUGAUAGCUGGUUGUCCAAAAAAUGAAUUUAAGUUCAACUUGAAGUAUACCCAAAAAGCACAAGAACUAAAACGUAAACUCCAAGUAUAGUCUAAAAAGGUACAGCUUUUUAGAAACAGUUAGAACCUUUAUUAGAGAGUAAACAAUUAAGCAUCCAUAGUUGGCCUUAAAGCAGCCAUCAAUUAAGAAAGCGUUCAAGCUCAACAAUAAAACAUUAAUAACUCCAGAAAAUUAAAUCAACUCCUAAAUCAACAUUGGACCAAUCUACUUAUAAGUAGAAGAAAUACUGCUAAUAUGAGUAACAAGAUAUUAAUCUCCUUGCAUGAGCUUAUAUCAGAACGGAUAGUCCACUGAUAGUUAACAACAUGACAAAAUCAAAUUAAAUAUUAAAACUUGUCCAAUAAAUUGUUAACCCAACACAGGUAUGCAUACAAAAGGAAAGAUUCUAACAAAUGAAAGGAACUCGGCAAACACAAGUCCCGCCUGUUUACCAAAAACAUCACCUCUAGCAUAACUAGUAUUAGAGGCACUGCCUGCCCAGUGACCAUGUUAAACGGCCGCGGUAUCCUGACCGUGCAAAGGUAGCAUAAUCACUUGUUCUCUAAAUAAGGACUAGUAUGAAUGGCUAAACGAGGACUUUACUGUCUCUCAUCUGUAAUCAGUGAAAUUGACCUUCCCGUGAAAAGGCGGGAAUAAUAAAAUAAGACGAGAAGACCCUAUGGAGCUUCAAUUACCAGCUUAAAAUUAUCCACACACACACUUCUAAGGAAAUAAAAACUAAUUAUAUAAGCAACUAAUUUUGGUUGGGGUGACCUCGGAGAAAAAAAUAACCUCCGAGCGGUUUAAAUCCAGACUGACAAGUCUAAAUAAUCCAUCAAUUGAUCCAAUAUUUGAUCAACGGAACAAGUUACCCUAGGGAUAACAGCGCAAUCCUAUUCAAGAGUCCCUAUCGACAAUAGGGUUUACGACCUCGAUGUUGGAUCAAGACAUCCCAAUGGCGCAGCUGCUAUUAACGGUUCGUUUGUUCAACGAUUAAAGUCUUACGUGAUCUGAGUUCAGACCGGAGUAAUCCAGGUCGGUUUCUAUCUAUUUAUACAUUUUUCCCAGUACGAAAGGACAAGAAAAAUAGGGCCUACCUUACAUAGACGCCCUCAAACUAAUAAAUGACGCCCUCUUAAUUUAAUUAGUUUAUAAUAAAUUUAAUCCUAGACAUAGGAAUC